rnacentral:rRNA from 1 species
AUACGGAUGGUGCGAGCGUUGUUCGGAAUUACUGGGCGUAAAGGGCGCGUAGGCGGCCUGCCAAGUCAGAUGUGAAAGCCCACGGCUCAACCGUGGAAGUGCAUCUGAAACUGACAGGCUCGAGUACUGGAGAGGAGUGUGGAAUUCCUGGUGUAGAGGUGAAAUUCGUAGAUAUCAGGAGGAAUACCGGUGGCGAAGGCGACACUCUGGACAGAUACUGACGCUGAGGCGCGAAAGCGUGGGGAGCAAACAGGAUUAGAUACCCCAGUAGUCC